GGAAGCUCAAUGGAGUUCGUAUGAUACACCGUCCAAUCUGAUCAUACUGGUCAAUGGGGAUGGCAGAUUCUGGUUCAGAAUCGACAACAAGAGUACCAUCCAGUCAAAGGGUGUUAAGCUACCCAGCAAUUCUCACUGAGAAGUACUCGAACUGCACGUGUUGUCUCAUGGAUUGCCGAGCCGUACUCAAACUACUCAAUAAAG
rnacentral:lncRNA from 1 species